GUCGAGAAUUUUUCUCAAUGGGGGAAACCCUGAAGGAGCGACGCCGCGUGGGGGAUGAAUGGCUUCGGCCCGUAAACCCCUGUCAUUUGCGAUCAAACCUUACGACCUAACACGUCGUAAGCUGAUAGUAGCGGAAGAGGAAGGGACGGCUAACUCUGUGCCAGCAGCCGCGGUAAUACAGAGGUCCCAAGCGUUGUUCGGAUUCACUGGGCGUAAAGGGUGCGUAGGCGGUCGGGUAAGUCUGACGUGAAAUCUUCAAGCUCAACUUGGAAACUGCGUCGGAUACUAUUCGGCUAGAGGAAUGGAGGGGAGACUGGAAUACUUGGUGUAGCAGUGAAAUGCGUAGAUAUCAAGUGGAACACCAGUGGCGAAGGCGAGUCUCUGGACAUUUCCUGACGCUGAGGCACGAAAGCCAGGGGAGCAAACGGGAUUAGAAACCCCUGUAGUCC
rnacentral:rRNA from 1 species